AGAAUGAACGCUGGCGGCGUGCUUAACACAUGCAAGUCGAGCGAGGCCAGGGGGGCAACUCCCUGAGUCGAGCGGCGGACGGGUGAGUAACACGUGGGUAACCUACCCGGAAGUGGGGAAUACCUCGGGGAAACUCGAGCUAAUACCGCAUGACAUCUUUGGGACGAAAGUUCUGACGAUCGAAAGCGGGGUCGCAAGAUCUCGCGCUACCGGAUGGGCCCGCGCCCGAUUAGCUAGUUGGUGAGGUAACGGCUCACCAAGGCUUCGGAUC
rnacentral:rRNA from 1 species